rnacentral:rRNA from 1 species
UAACUACGUGCCAGCAGCCGCGGUCAUACGUAGGAUCCAAGCGUUAUCCGGAGUGACUGGGCGUAAAGAGUUGCGUAGGUGGCUAGUAAAGCGAAUAGUGAAAUCUGGUGGCUCAACCAUCAACACAUUAUUCGAACUCACUAGCUCGAGAACAGCAGAGGUAACUGGAAUUUCUGAAGUAGGGGUAAUAUCCGUAGAUAUCAGAAGGAACACCAAUGGCGUAGGCAGGUUACUGGGCUGUUUCUGACACUGAGGCACGAAAGCGUGGGGAGCGAACCGGAUUAGAUACCCGGGUAGUCCACGCCGUAAACGAUGGAUACUAGCUGUUGGAGGUAUCGACCCCUUCAGUAGCGAAGCUAACGCGUUAAGUAUCCCGCCUGUGGAGUACGGUCGCAAGACUAAAACAUAAAGGAAUUGACGGGGACCCGCACAAGCGGUGGAGCGUGUUGUUUAAUUCGAUGGUAAGCGAAGAACCUUACCCAGGUUUGACAUCCUUGGAAUUUUGCCGAAAGGCGAGAGUGCUUUAUUGAGCCAAGUGACAGGUGUUGCAUGGCCGUCGUCAGCUCGUGUCGUGAGAUGUUUGGUUAAGUCCAUCAACGAGCGCAACCCUUGUGAAUAGUUGUAUUUUUCUAUUCAGACUGCCCCGGUAACGGGGAGGAAGGAGGGGAUGAUGUCAGGUCAGUAUUUCUCUUACGUCCUGGGCUAGAAACGUGAUACAAUGGCAGGUACAAUGCGCAGCGAAGCCGCGAGGUGAAGCAAAUCGCACCAAAGCUUGUCCCAGUUCGGAUUGGAGGCUGAAACUCGCCUCCAUGAAGUCGGAAUCGCUAGUAAUCGCAAGUCAGCAAAUUGCGGUGAAUACGUUCCCGGGUCUUGUACACACCGCCCGUCAAACCAUGAAAGUGACCAACACCCGAAGUCCGAUUCGUCGGCCUAAGGUGGGGGGCAUGAUUGGGGUUAAGUCGUAACAAGGUAUCCGUAGCGGAAGCUGCGGAUG